GUACCUUCUGCCGUACUUGUCAGGAUCGCUAGUAGUCUCUUUGUGAGUCUUUUCUGUUUAAAGGACAGGCGAAAAUGAAAACAAAAAGGAAAAAAAAAGUGUUUCCUUAGUUGUUGUUAUUCUGAUACUGAUGCCUCAAGGACCAACCUUUGAUUUCUUCCCCUUAAAUUGAAUGAUUUUAAUUUAUCGUUAAUGUCAUGUUUGGUAGGAGAAAUGAGGGCUAAUCUAGGAAGUGUUUGUUAGUUUUUUAAGAUUGGUUGAUGAGAGGAAUUGGGAUUGGGAUUGAUAGGGAGGAAUGGAAAAGAUGGGUGAUGCGCAAGGGCUUUCAAUCAUCAAAAAGCUGGAGAAUGAUGACAAACUGUAGGUUAUUUUUUUUCAUUCCUUCUUUAAUCCCUAACAUACAUGUGAUUAAAAUUAUUGAUUUUGUGUGAGCAAACAAAGAUAUGACUGUUGGAAAAUAUUGAAGAUUGGGAGACAUUUGAUCAAACAGUAUAAAUGCAAUAUUUUGUGUGUUAUUAGAUCCAUUUCUCUCAUUUUAGAUGAAUAAAAUUUAUCUGUCUUUUCCAAAUAGUUCAGUGACAAACAGAAAAUCUUGUGUAUUUUUUUGGCUGUUAAUUCUUACAGGAAUGCCUUGCCAAGGAUUUGUCAGAAUCUCAUCAUGUUUUCUCUUUAAUUCUUUGCUUAGUUGCUAGAAAUUUUGUUUCCUUCUUCAAAUUGUUUCAUCAUUGUGCAUAUUUACCUGCAAAUGUAUUACAUGAUUCUAAACUUGGAUCUUAGUUCCUUCAUCAAAUUGUUUCAUCACUGUGUAUACUCCAAAGUGUGUUGCAAUUUACACAUAAUCUAAAACUUAGCAUGUGAAGGUUAUAUGGCUCUCUCCUCUUGAAAAUAAGCUGUUUUGAAUAGAGGGGUACGUUUUGAAUUGUUGAUAUUUAUGCUUUUUUUGUGUUUCUUUGAAUGAGGACAAGUACAUUUAGUUGCUCUUCCUCAAAGGUUCAAAUUGUUUUGGUUGGUUGUCCUCAGCAAUAGCACAUAGGGGGCUCUCUUUCUUAAGUGAAUUGUCCCAAAUCAAAGAGCCAGAGAAGUUUCAGAGCUGAGAUUGUCUGUUUUUGGGAUGCAUCUGGGUAGCUUUAGUGCUCCUUGGGUGAGGCAAAACCUGAAGAAGUUUUCAGUUGGCUGCUUUGAAUAGGAUUUUGCAAAGCAAAGAGAGGAUGGGGUUUUGAGGAGGUCUUUGGUAAAAAGGUGGGGAGUAUUGUCUCAGCACUUCCCAGUUCCCACUAGUGGGAAGAGAUAAUCAUGGUUCCUUCAAGAUUGAAAUCAUCCCUACAUGUGUUUUAUGUGGGUGCCUAGUUGGUUAGGAUAAAUGCCAAUAUGUGUGGUAGAGGUGUAAUUUUUUGGGUUUAUUCCUAGUUGAAUGUCCUAGAUUACCCAGUGCUAGUUGUGGUGGGUGUAGUCAGCACCUUGAGGCCCCCAUGGAAAUUCCGAAAGGCUCGGCUAUGGAAGGUUCCUUGGUUAUUAAAAAAAAGAAAAGAAAAAGUUAUGGACGACAGCGACUCACUCUCCUUAUUCUAUUGCCCUUAGGUUGUGAAUAUGUUGAAGGUAUGGUCCUUUUUGUAAGGGAAACCGUUGUUCUAUGAUCAUAUGUUCCCUCUGUGGUAUGCUUUAAGGGGUUACUCGACCAAAGCAUUCUUAUGUAAGGUUGCUUUGUUUUUCUAGUAUGAUGGAAGUUGUUUGGAAACUAGCAUUUUGAUUUGUUGCAUUUAAUGUUAAUAUUCUUAGAAAACAACUAUUGAGGAAAACAAAUAAAAAGAAAAUAGAACAAAGAGAAUGACUUCAGUUUUAUGUGAUUCUCUCAGAUUUGUGUCUGAAGGAUGGUGGGACUGAUUCUAGAGUUUCUGGUUGUUGAGAAACAAAGAGGAGGAAGUGGUGUUGCUGUACAUAUUGUGCUUCUUAACUGUCGCAAAGGGGGUUGAAUGCAUGGAUCUCAUGUGCACUAGAAGAUGCUUGGGAAGUGAUGUGGACACUUGAUUGUCUCUCAUGGUGGGCCUGGAAACCCCUGUUAAUCAGCAACAGUAGACAAAGGGUUAAGAAUAGUUGAGUGCGGUAUAACCAAAAACCUCCUUUUAGACCAUGGUUGGAUAUGCUAGUUUUCAUGGUGUAAUAGGAUAGAUAAUUGAGGUGAAGUUUAUUCCAAAUUUGUCGUAGAUUAUCCAAAUGCUUCGAUGAUGGGAGGCAAUAACCAUUUCCUGGACAUACUUGAAGUUAGUCAUUGUUGAAUUAAUCCUUUGGUAUAUGUAUCAUGCAUGUAAUUGUGUAUGUGAUGUGUAUAUGGAUGUUUGUACAUAUGGCUGUUGCAUGGGUAGCAUUUUUAGUGAGAUCAUAAUUCAUUCACUAGGUUUAAUAUAUGUUUCCUCAGAAAUUCUCUUACGGUUUUUGUUCAAAGAAGACUGUCUCUCUUUUCAGCUUAGUCGCAAUAUCAAACUGGUUCAAAAGGAAAUGGGAAUUAAGAAAGAUGAUAGAAUCUAACCUUUAAGCUUUUUCAAUGAUAUGAUCAGUUGGACGAACUCUUGUGCAUUCUUACGGAAAAUUUGAUUACAAUAUGCUCUUGUUAUUACUUUCCUUGCUUUCAUUAUUUUCUCAGUCCAGGGUGUAAAAAUCCUUUACUUCCGACCUCCAACUAGAAAGGGAUAUUAACAAUUGUGUUGUAUAUAUUCUAUAUGAUGGAAAAUUACUGCAUAGGAUUAACUUGCAGAUCUUCAUCCCUAAUUCAUGACUAAUUAUGACUGAUAUUUUUCAGUGUGGUGGGUCUUGUUCUUAUUUCAAAAUCAAUUAUAUGAUGUCAGAACUUUUAUACAGGAUUUGCAUCUUUGUUGUUUCAUUGUAGGUACUUGAAUAGGCUGUUGGAUCAGCACAGCAGGUGCAAAAAUUCAUUGGGCCAGUCAUAGCAAGUAGGUGUAUCCAGUGGGAAUUUUGGCUUUUGGAGUAGGAAAAAUUAACAAGAGUAUGUCAUUUGUUUCAUCUUUCCAAGAAGAAACUUGAAAUUUUUUACCUAAGGGAUAAUCUUAUGGAUAAAGGAUUAAAGGUUAAAAUAUACUUGUGGGUGCUUUCAAUUCAAUGAUUAUUGUUACUUGACAUAUAUUUCUAGCUUGUAAUUUGUGUCUGUUUUUGGUCACUGAACCUAUAUCAGUUAUGGCAUGAUAAUUCAUCUUGUUUAGUACUUUCCUAUCAACUACAUUAGAAACUAUUUCUGCAGGAUUUUAUCGAUUCUCAUUUCUUUAUAUUUGGUGGGUGAGAAAUGCAUGCUACUUAGGUGGUUAUAAGUUGAUGCCGCUUGGACUGAGAGUUUGUUUCUCUUGAACUUUGUGUUGUCUUUAUGUUCAGUUUGAUUGCUGAGAAAGUGUGAUAACGCUUGGAGUCCUAGAGCACCUGCACUCUAGACCGAACCUAUUAAAAGUUCCUUGUUUUCAUUUAUUUUCCCAUGGAUCCUCACUCAGCUAACAAGCUAGGUAUGACUGAACUUCUGUUGGACACAUGAUUGAUGGUAUUAGAAGAUAGGGUACAGUUCCUGAAUGAUAGUAAUUACCUGAUGGGAAUACUCUCUACGGGAGGAAAAAUGUAGAUAAACUGGCAUUACCAUAAGAAUGUUGUGCCUUAUGUUUCCAAACCUUGUCCAUGUUCAAUGGCAGUAGGAAAAACAGAUGUCAUAUAACAGGAUGCAGCCAAGGGCCUUUCUUUUUUCCUUUCUCCCUUUUAUAUGUUGUUUGGGGCCCUAUUAGAUAAUUUAUUUCUAGAAUCUCACUGAUAGGUGUACGUUGGGCAAGGCUUGAACCCCAAAAGGGUUGGACCUGAUUGAAUGUCAUGCUGGACUGGCAAAAGAAAGUGCUGAGAUUCAGGGAGAAGGAAAAUAAGAAACUGAGGGCAGCAAAUGGGGGCAGGGAGAAUAGAACUCUACUGCUAACAUGGCUCUGGGUGAAAAGGGGCUGCUUUGGUUUUUGGCUUUCAGACCUGAGUUUAAAUCCUUAUCUUGCUUUAGGUUGGGUUUGGCCACUGGCCUGAAAUUUUAGGGGGCUUUGAACCAAUUGUAUGCUUCUACUCAUUGAUACAUGUAUUUUGAUUCCAAAUACUCAAUGCUGAUAUAUUUUUAUAAAUUUUAACUUAUGAACAUGAUUUAUCACUGAUAUUUUUAUGUAUCUAACCUAUAAACAUUGAUUCUUUAUUGGUUAAUUUUUUGUUGGUUCUUUAACACAUUUUUUCUUCCCUUUUCUUUUUAUUCUUUUUUCCUUUUUUUUUCUUUUUCAUUUUAGAUGCUGAUGACGGUUUCUUAGGGCCCUUGUUGACAAGAAAUUCUAUCUACUAUGAACUCAAAACUUAUGACAAGUAACACGAGUAAAAUUGAAGAACAUGUAGUCACAAAACCACAAGUCAACCUUCAUAGGACAUCUUCAAAAGAAUGUUGAUGUAGGUUGGAAAUAGAAUACACAUGGAACCAAAAAAGAAGUAAAAUAUGAAUGAAAAUGCGUCACUGAGCUUGGGAAGCAUGGUCAUGAAUUUUAUGUGGUCUUCUCUAGUGGCCUGCAAAAUAUUGCAGCAUUGGCCACUAGGCUACGCACACUUGGGCUACCACUCAAAACACUGUUCCUAUGACUAUAUUUGCAAUCAAAGUACACUUGAUAUCUUAUGCACAACGUGGUCAAUGCCAUAUGAGUGGGCACAUGGGGGUUGUUAAUGCUUGUGACAAACCCACAUGGGGUUUCUCAUUUUUAGUCAAGGCAUGCCCUUCUCGAAUGACCUGUUUGAGGAGACAACUGCCAAACAACAGCCUGGAGAAGAAGGCUAAAGGAUGAAUGUCCUUAAUGUCCCAAAGGACUUUAUCUUAUGUCUAUCCAGAUGGCUGUUUAAUGUUAUGAAUCCAUGUGAAGGGAUCUUGAAGCACUGUUGGGAACAGUUAGUCAUAGGAUUUUAGUGGGGUCAGAAAGCAUAGUUUUAUUCAGUCUGUUGAAUGCUUGAUUCAACUCUAUUGCAUUUUUUUUCUUUCUUUCAAUGGAAGACACUACUGCUGGAAGCAAUUAAUCAUGACAUUGGUCCCCAGAAUAUGAUUGUUAUUCCUCAAUUAAGAAAUGGAUUCACAUGAGUUAACAAGGGCUUCAGAGUUAGAACCAUACACAGGAAUGCAAAGAAAUUCCUUUCUGUUGAUCAAAAGUUAGGAUUGUUGUUUCACUCCUGUUAUCAUCUCUUUUUACCUCAUCUUUUCUCUUUCUUUUCAUUCUUUUGACCUUUUUACUCCUUUGUCCAUUUAUCAAUUGUUUUUGAAAACGUGUUUCUCCUUGACUGGGGUGUGCUGGUUAUCAUUUCUCUCUAGUGAUGGGCACUUCUGGUGGUUCAGGAUAAUGCAUGGAACUAUUCUCAUCUGCGAUAAUGGAAAUUAAAGAUGGCCAUAGUACUCACACAAAGAAGAAAAAAGAAGGGUGAUUGGCCUAGGAGGAUGUUCAUGUAUAGAAAUGAGGAUAAAAAUCGAAGGUGGUUUUGCCUCCAUUCUUGGAAAGGACAGGGUAUUGGGGCCACAUGCAAAUUGUUGAAUGUCUAAUAUAUUGUGGAUGACCAUAUUGGAGAGAACUGAUCCCAAGGAAAAGUGAACACGAAGUACUUGAGAUUGUUUUCAGUAGUGGUCCAUUUGAUGCCUUCCACCUGAGCCAUAAACUGUAUCUUUCUGGGACAUGAUGGUACCCAAUGGGCGAUAAAGAUAUUUUUAGCUCUUUGUGCCUGGAACUGGUCAGAACUUAAAGAGAUUUCUCCACUGACUGAACUAAAGAUCUAAAAAAGGAAGGAUAGAGAGCCAAAACUAAUAGAGAUGAGAGAAUGGUUUCUUUCACCUGCCUUGGUUGAAAUGAACAGAGAGAGAGCCCUCUGCUGUAUUCAAUGAAUUAGCCACAAAAAGCAACUUACUUUACAGAUUCUUUGGUUGAUUCCCUCUUUUUCUCCUCACAUUUGUUCAUUUCUGAAAACUACUCUUUGAACCCAAGUUUGGCAAAAGCAGAGGGGUACUCCAAAAGUGAGGGAUGGAUGGAUGGAUUUGAUCGCUUUGUGUCGUCAUCAUUUUAUCUUUUCCAAUGCCUUAUCUCUACUAUUUGGUACUGGGCGGCUUGAAUCUUGUUCCUUUUUUCACAGCCUCUCAAUGAUGUUUCAGCCUAGAGCUUUCUGUUCCCAUUCAAAUGCACAAAUUUCAAUUUUCAUGGUAUUUUACCUCUUGAGAUGCCCUGUAUAGGUUUCACUUAUUCUAUCUGUUCUUGCCAUAUAAAUUGCCCAAGAGUGUGAGCUGUAGUAGAAGAUAAAAGAGAAAGGUUGAAAGAUUUGAAAACUGACACAGUUUGUUGUGAAGAUUACACACAAGAUGCAGUGGAAGAAAGCCGAUGGACCCAAAAGCCAAAUGUUUCGCCGACAAGUUGGUUUUAUUUAUAGAUUUUGGACUGUGUGAGUGGGGAAGACCUUGUUUAUUCAUCGCUUGGCUUUUUCCACAAUUAUUAUAAAGCCCACAUCAGUACAGGCGGAAGAUAUAUAGAAAUCAAAUGAACACCUCUUUAGAUGCAUAUACACAUAGGCGUGACACACACAACCCAUUUCCUUUUAGUAUUUUAAUAUUUCUGAUGUGUGGAUAUGUGAUGAGAUUGAAAUAAUGGACUUAAAUCUGAACCAUAAUUUUGAAAAGUUUGUUAGAUUAUCGCUUCAACUUUCAACUUUCAACUUUCAAGUGAUUGGUGGGUCCACAGACUUUUGUUUUGAAAAGGUAGGACACUGAAACUGAUAGUGAUUUGCUCAGUGUGAAUGUGAUCUUGUAUCCUGUAUCAUCUUUUGGACUAACCCAAAUGUAUAUGCAAUGCUCCUAAUUAGUCAAAAUAAGUAAUCCUUAUUAUUAUUAUUUAUGGGGGUAUGGAUUAAAAACAUUAGUACUUCCAGGGAGUAUAACUUGAAUUGAAAUAGGGUAUGGAUAAUUACAGAGGGGGUGAAUUGGAAUUGGAAGAGAACAAGUAUAUGAUUUGAAGGAUAAACAGGAGAUUUGAUUGUCCAUUAGGGAAUGGAAGGGCAUAUUGAGUUGAGAAAUUGACAAAUAAACGUUAAAUCGGACUGGAUUAAAUGGACAACACUCGUACCUUUCUCUGUAGCCAUGAUGUUAAAAACGGACUCUCCUUCAAUCUUUAUGCUUGCUUGAGGAAGAAAAAUAAACUUAUAUACGCCAUUUUAGGCCCUUAGGCCCAAGGAAAAAUUGAAGAAAAAGUGUGUUGCAACCAACAAAAAUCAAAAGGGGCAAGAAAAGGAAAAGGAAUCCAAUAGCAUACCUAAUGUUGUUGCACUUCAGAAACAGUGGAAUCCAUCUUUAUAUUUCACCAUUUAUUGUUUCUUUGGGCGGAUAUGCUAUCUCCCACCAAGGCCAAAAUAACAAGUGUUGGAAAAUUUGGUUGUCUCACUCACUUCUGAUCAUCAGCAAAUUGGUUUAGUAUAUCCCAAAAUUCCCAUUACAAAAGGCAUUCCACCCUCUAAUGUUUUUUCCUUUUCCAGAUUUGUCAGAUGCCAACAACUCCUUAAAUUCCAAGUUCCUGUCUUGAGAAAACACAUUUUUCCAAUAAUGUGAUUCUAAAAUCCCGGAACCCUAGGGUAGGGUAUGAGAAUGACUGGGAAAUGGGUUAUCUGGGCAGCCAAAAGAGUCCCCAGUGUUUGUAC
rnacentral:lncRNA from 1 species